rnacentral:rRNA from 1 species
GACGAACGCUGGCGGCGUGCUAAUACAUGCAAGUAGAACGCUGAAGAGAGGAGCUUGCUCUUCUUGGAUGAGUUGCGAACGGGUGAGUAACGCGUAGGUAACCUGCCUGGUAGCGGGGGAUAACUAUUGGAAACGAUAGCUAAUACCGCAUAAUAGUAGAUGUUGCAUGACAUUUGCUUAAAAGGUGCAAUUGCAUCACUACCAGAUGGACCUGCGUUGUAUUAGCUAGUUGGUGAGGUAACGGCUCACCAAGGCAACGAUACAUAGCCGACCUGAGAGGGUGAUCGGCCACACUGGGACUGAGACACGGCCCAGACUCCUACGGGAGGCAGCAGUAGGGAAUCUUCGGCAAUGGACGGAAGUCUGACCGAGCAACGCCGCGUGAGUGAAGAAGGUUUUCGGAUCGUAAAGCUCUGUUGUAAGAGAAGAACGAGUGUGAGAGUGGAAAGUUCACACUGUGACGGUAUCUACCA